ACUUCCUUCAAUUUUGAUUUUCUAUACACAUCUUCCUCCUUUUUUUUUUACUUUAAGAACUUCAUAACCUAAUAUGCUUUUGAGGGUGAUUGAUGUUGUAUGGAUUUGUUAAGAAGAUUGAAAGAUGUUGGUAAGGGUGAUUGAUUACUGUAAGAAGCAUGUCGAGAAUCCUAUGAGAUGGUUGUUCUGAUGAUAAUGAAUUUGUUAAAAUCGAUUAGCCUACCUUGUUCUAUUUUAUCCAAUGAGGGCUCUAGAGUAAACAAUGAGGUGAAGUUGUUGUUAGGUUGAACUUUGAUGAACUGAGAAAUUAAGAAUGUCAUGGAGCUGAGAAUGAUACAAAUUUGUGAUGUUUUUAGCUGAUUCUUGAGCUAAGAAUUCAGAGAAGAAAGAGUCUGGUAAAACUAAGCUCACUAUAUUUUUUGGUACUCAGACUGGUAUUGCUGAAGGAUUUGCUAAGGUAUUGGCAGAAGAAAUUAAGGAAAAGUACAAGAAAGCAUUUAUUAAAGUAGUUGACCUGGUAAGUGUUGCAUGAAUUGUUGUCUGCAACUUAUGAAAUGCCUGCUGAUUACAGUUCGAUUUCAAGUCUUAUUAAGAAAUCUAGAAAUGACGAGGAGAACCAAACUAGGGUUUCUGUUGCGACGAUGUCUUUAGGUGAUGAAAAUUCACAUGAAAUUGAUGGGGAUUUGCAUAGUAGACAACUUGUUGUUUAUGGAAGAGAAACUAUGCGGAGACUUUUUGCUUCCAAUAUCCUUGUUUCUGGGAUGCAAGGUAUCGGUGCAGAUAUUGAAAAAAAUCUUAUCCUUGCUGGUGUCAAAUCUGUGACAUUGCACGAUGAGGGAAAUGUUGAACUAUGGGACUUGUCCAGCAACUUUAUUUUCUCAGAGGAUGAUAUUGGAAAGAAUCGUGCAGUUGCUUCUGUAACGAAGCUUCAAGAACUGAAUAAUGUUGUUUUAUUUUCUGCUCUAUCAACCCCUUUGACUAUGGAUCAACUCUCUAAUUUCGAGCAAAGUUGUGAAGGAAGAGCAUACUGUGACUUGUCGUACCGCGACUACAAAGGUGUGUUUGUCCUGCAUAGAAUGUGAUGAACUUUUUAUUUACGGUAUCUUAGGAUGGGAAGGAGUUGUGCUUAUUUGGUUUCUGACAUUGAUUUCCUGUCAAGUUGAAUGAGAUGUUUCUUCCUGGUCGAAUGCCAAUCAGUUCAUAUAGAAUGUGAUGAACUUUUUAUUUACGGUAUCAAUGGAUUGUCAAGCCACAAACUACUGUCAAGUUGAAUGAGAUGUUUCUUCCUGGUCGAAUGUCAUUUAUCUUCAACAUGGUUCCCGAUAGUGGAUCAUGGAAUUACCACAUCAAUGGAGUGAAGCAUAACACUAACCUGACGUGUGGGAUAAAGCUGGGAUCGAUGGUGAUACUGAUAACAUCAGCUCGUUUGGUGGGAUAGCCUUGGCUUAUGAACUUAUAUGAACUGAUUGGCAUCUGAUUGUUGCUUUUCAAUAUUGUAAGUUUUGUAAGUUAUGAUGUAGGAAGUUUCUAUGAACUCAACAAGUUUUUUUAACUUAGAAUUUGAUUCUUACAAGAAUUUUGGCACUUAGAAGAAUUUAUUUUCUUCUUUGGUUG